AGGCUACGAGGUGUAGGGCUUCGGCUCGACUCUCCCACCCUUUGUGAACGUACCUCUGUUGCUUUGGCGGCUCCGGCCGCCAAAGGACCUCCAAACUCCAGUCAGUAAACGCAGACGUCUGAUAAACAAGUUAAUAAACUAAAACUUUCAACAACGGAUCUCUUGGUUCUGGCAUCGAUGAAGAACGCAGCGAAAUGCGAUAAGUAAUGUGAAUUGCAGAAUUCAGUGAAUCAUCGAAUCUUUGAACGCACAUUGCGCCCCUUGGUAUUCCGGGGGGCAUGCCUGUUCGAGCGUCAUUACAACCCUCAAGCUCUGCUUGGAAUUGGGCACCGUCCUCACUGCGGACGCGCCUCAAAGACCUCGGCGGUGGCUGUUCAGCCCUCAAGCGUAGUAGAAUACACCUCGCUUUGGAGUGGUUGGCGUCGCCCGCCGGACGAACCUUCUGAACUUUUCUCAAGGUUGACCUCGGAUCAGGUAGGGAUACCCGCUGAACUUAAGCAUAUCAAUAAGCGGAGGAAC
rnacentral:rRNA from 1 species